rnacentral:rRNA from 1 species
CAGCAGCCGCGGUAAUACCGGCGGCCCGAGUGGCGGUCACUAUUAUUGGGCUUAAAGCGUCCGUAGCCGGGUUGGGAAGUCCUCCGGGAAAUCUGGCCGCUUAACGGUCAGAAUGCCGGAGGAUACUCCCAGCCUAGGGAGCGGGAGAGGCCGAGGGGAUUCCCGGGGUAGGGGUGGAAUCCUAUAAUCCCGGGAGGACCACCUGUGGCGAAGGCGCUCGGCUGGAACGCGUCCGACGGUGAGGGACGAAGGCCAGGGGAGCAAACCGGAUUAGAUACCCGGGUAGUCCUGGCUGUAAACGAUGCGGACUUUGUGGCGGACAAGCUAUGAGCUUGUCCGGUGCCGGAGGGAAACCGUUAAGUCCGCCGCCUGGGGAGUACGGCCGCAAGGCUGAAACUUAAAGGAAUUGGCGGG